rnacentral:rRNA from 1 species
CCUACGGGUGGCAGCAGUGGGGAAUAUUGCACAAUGGGGGAAACACUGAUGCAGCGACGCCGCGUGAGUGAAGAAGUAUCUCGGUAUGUAAAGCUCUAUUAGUAGGGAAGAAGAAAGACGGUACCUGACUCAGAAGCCCCGGCCAACUACGUGCCAGCAGCCGCGGUAAUACGUAGGGGGCAAGCGUUAUCCGGAUUUACUGGGUGUAAAGGGAGCGUAGACGGCUGGGCAAGUCUGAAGUGAAAGCCCAGGGCUCAACCCUGGGACUGCAGUGGAAACUGUGGGGCUAGAGUGCUGGAGAGGUAGGUGGAAUUCGUGGUGUAGCGGUGAAAUGCGUAGAUAUUAGGAGGAACACCAGUGGCGAAGGCAGCUUACUGGACAGUAACUGACGUUGAGGCUCGAAAGCGUGGGGAGCAAACAGGAUUAGAUACCCUGGUAGUC